CAAUAGCGUAUACUAAAGUUGUUGCAGUUAAAAAGCUCGUAGUUGAAUUUCUGGUUGUGAAAGAUGGUCCGUUCCUCAAGGAAUGUGUACUAAUCAUUCAUGGCCAUCCUCGGGGAGAAUGUGUGUUACUUUCAGUAGUCGUGCACAGGAACCCCGUCAUUUACUGUGAGAAAAUUAGAGUGUUCAAAGCAGGCUUAUGCCGUUGAAUAUAUUAGCAUGGAAUAAUAAGAUAGGACCUCGGUGCUAUUUUGUUGGUUUGCGCACAGAGGUAAUGAUGAACAGGGACAGUUGGGGGUAUUUGUAUUUCGUUGUCAGAGGUGAAAUUCUUAGAUUUACGAAAGACAAACUACUGCGAAAGCAUUUACCAAGGAUGUUUUCAUUGAUCAAGAACGAAAGUAUGGGGAUCGAAGACGAUUAGAUACCAU
rnacentral:rRNA from 1 species